UUCCGGUUGAUCCUGCCGGACCCGACUGCUAUCAGAGUGGGACUAAGCCAUGCGAGUCAACAUAGCAAUAUGUGGCAUACGGCUCAGUAACACGUAGUCAACAUGCCCAGGGGACGUGGAUAACCUCGGGAAACUGAGGAUAAACCACGAUAGGUCAUCACUUCUGGAAUGGGUAAUGACUUAAAUCUAUAUGGCCCCUGGAUUGGACUGCGGCCGAUCAGGCCGUUGGUGAGGUAAUGGCCCACCAAACCUGUAACCGGUACGGGCUCUGAGAGGAGGAGCCCGGAGAUGGGCACUGAGACAAGGGCCCAGGCCCUAUGGGGCGCAGCAGGCGCGAAACCUCUGCAAUAGGCGAAAGCUUGACAGGGUUACUCUGAGUGAUUUCCGUUAAGGAGAUCUUUUGGCAUCUCUAAAAAUGGUGCAGAAUAAGGGGUGGGCAAGUCUGGUGUCAGCCGCCGCGGUAAUACCAGCACCCCGAGUGGUCGGGACGUUUAUUGGGCCUAAAGCAUCCGUAGCCGGUUCUACAAGUCUUCCGUUAAAUCCACCUGCUUAACAGAUGGGCUGCGGAGGAUACUAUAAGACUAGGAGGCAGGAGAGGCAAGCGGUACUCAGUGGGUAGGGGUAAAAUCCGUUGAUCCAUUGAAGACCACCAGUGGCGAAGGCGGCUUGCCAGAAUGCGCUCGACGGUGAGGGAUGAAAGCUGGGGGAGCAAACCGGAUUAGAUACCCGGGUAGUCCCAGCUGUAAACGAUGCAGACUCGGUGAUGGACUAGCUUAAUGCUAGUCCAGUGCCGCAGGGAAGCCGUUAAGUCUGCCGCCUGGGUAGUACGGUCGCAAGACUGAAACUUAAAGGAAUUGGCGGGGGAGCACCACAAGGGGUGAAGCCUGCGGUUCAAUUGGAGUCAACGCCCGGA
rnacentral:rRNA from 1 species